rnacentral:tRNA from 11 species
GCCAACGUAGCUCAAUUGGUAGAGCAACUGACUUGUAAUCAGUAGGUUGUAGGUUCAAGUCCUAUCGUUGGCUCCA